rnacentral:rRNA from 1 species
CGCGGCCUAUCAGCUUGUUGGUGAGGUAAUGGCUCACCAAGGCGACGACGGGUAGCCGGCCUGAGAGGGCGACCGGCCACACUGGGACUGAGACACGGCCCAGACUCCUACGGGAGGCAGCAGUGGGGAAUAUUGCACAAUGGGCGAAAGCCUGAUGCAGCGACGCCGCGUGAGGGAUGACGGCCUUCGGGUUGUAAACCUCUUUCAGCAGGGAAGAAGCGCAAGUGACGGUACCUGCAGAAGAAGCGCCGGCUAACUACGUGCCAGCAGCCGCGGUAAUACGUAGGGCGCAAGCGUUGUCCGGAAUUAUUGGGCGUAAAGAGCUCGUAGGCGGCUUGUCACGUCGGGUGUGAAAGCCCGGGGCUUAACCCCGGGUCUGCAUUCGAUACGGGCUAGCUAGAGUGUGGUAGGGGAGAUCGGAAUUCCUGGUGUAGCGGUGAAAUGCGCAGAUAUCAGGAGGAACACCGGUGGCGAAGGCGGAUCUCUGGGCCAUUACUGACGCUGAGGAGCGAAAGCGUGGGGAGCGAACAGGAUUAGAUACCCUGGUAGUCCACGCCGUAAACGGUGGGAACUAGGUGUUGGCGACAUUCCACGUCGUCGGUGCCGCAGCUAACGCAUUAAGUUCCCCGCCUGGGGAGUACGG